ACAGGCCAUGUUGUAUAUGGCCUCUGCUCAGGCAAGGAAUGACCACAGGGCCCAGCUGUUCCCUCUGAACGCUGGUCAUCAUUCCCAUGCCCCUGCUGGCUGCAGACGGGGAGAGAGGUUUCUCUGCUGUCCACUGGAGAGCUGCCAGCAUUCCCCACUCCAGAUCACCUGGAGGAUAAAGCACUCCUGUGGCUGUCCUCAGCUGCAUGACCCGCGUGACUACUUAGAGGCAGCUGCUGUGCACACCAAGGCUGCUGCAGGGGGCCUGGGCCCCGGACACCGUGCUUCCAAGGGAGAAAGACACACAACUCUCUCAGCUUUAAAGAGGUCACAUAUGGAGGAGCAGCACUUUUGCCACGCUGAGUGUGUAAUUUAGUAUUUAAAUCAAUCAUGGUGUUUCUAUGACUGGAGGCCAGCUGCCGGGCCACACCCCAACAGGAGCUGCCCAGCCCAGGGAACAACAGAAUUUCAAAGAUCCCUGAGUCGUGAAAGGGAGGGAAUUGGAAGAAGACAUUCCAGACUUGGGUGUGGCCAGGGGAGUCAGCACACUGCUGGACUUGGAGAGUCUUUCAGGAAACACUUGCUGACGCUGACGGGCAGGGAUGCCGGCAGCAGGUGCCCAGCAUGAGAGCAGGUGCCAAUCACAAGGAUAACUGAUGGGGAUGUGAAGGAGCCCUGGACAGCAGAGCUACGUCUGUAGCUGUGUUUUAAGCCCAUGGAGCCCGAAGGUCAGCAGCACGGCGUGCAGACGCUGAAUUUCACCAUGGAGUACACUCAGCCCCACUCAGAAGAGGAUGCUGCCUAAUGGCUACAGGGCAGAGACUGGGUUGGACACAAACAGAUUUGUAUCCUGGUUAUGCCAUUGACUAGCUGUGUCUCAGAGAAGUUUCUUAUCCUCUCUUCAGUUGCAGCUUCCUCACCUGUCGCGGGGAGAACAAUUCCCAUCCCACAGAACUGCUAAGAAAGUAAAGGAGGUAAAAUACUUCACAUAGAUCCUGGCCUCUGGGAAGUAGUCAGCAAA